rnacentral:rRNA from 1 species
GAUGAACGCUGGCGGCGUGCCUAAUACAUGCAAGUCGAGCGAACAGGUAAGGAGCUUGUUCCUUUGACGUUAGCGGCGGACGGGUGAGUAACACGUGGGUAACCUACCUAUAAGACUGGAAUAACUCCGGGAAACCGGGGCUAAUGCCGGAUAACAUGUUGAACCGCAUGGUUCUACAGUGAAAGGCGGCUUUGCUGUCCCUUAUAGUUGGACCCGCGCCGUAUUAGCCAGUUGGUGGGGUAACGGCUCACCAAGGCAACGAUAAGUAACCGGCCCGGAGAGGUGGAUGGGCCAAAUGGGAACGGAACACCGGCCCAGAUCCUACGGGGAGCAACAGUAGGGGAAUCUCCCGCAUGGGGGGAAGUCUGGACGGAGAACGGCGGCGGGAGGAAGGAAGUUCUUCGGAUGUAAAACCUUGGUUAUUAGGGAAGAACAAAGGGGUAAGUAACUGUGCGCGUAGUGACGGUAACUAAUCAGAAAGCCACGGCUAACUACGUG